ACUACGGGAGGCUGCAGUGAGGAAUAUUGGUCAAUGGACGAGAGUCUGAACCAGCCAAGUAGCGUGAAGGAUGACUGCCCUAUGGGUUGUAAACUUCUUGUAUAUGGGAAUAAAAUGUGCCACGUGGGGGAUUUUGUAUGUACCAUAUGAAUAAGGAUCGGAUAACUCCGUGCCAGCAGCCGCGGUAAUACGGAGGAUCCGAGCGUUAUCCGGAUUUAGUGGGGUUAAAGGGAGCGUCGGUGGUUUGUUAAGUCAGUUGUGAAAGUUUGGGGCUCACCCGUAAAAUUGCAGUUGAAACUGGCAGUCUUGAGUACAGUAGAGGUGGGCGGAAUUCGUGGUGUAGCGGUGACCUGCUUAGAUAUCACGA
rnacentral:rRNA from 1 species